AAAAUUCAGCGUCAGCAUAUGUCUAAACCGUAUCUAUCUGUCUGUCGUUAGCUAAUAACAAGAUAAAAUUCCUACCCAUUCUCUAUAAUCAGCAGCCUCUAAUUCAGUAAUAGCAUCAUCAACCUGAAUUUUCACUUCCAACGUAACUUUUCAAUAUCAAUAUUAAGCCCUUCCGAGACAACUUGGAACAUUAGUCGUGGAUUCUCAACAUCUUCAAUGACCCUCUGAAGAAGAUUAUUAAUGUUAUAUGUAUU